UGCCUACGGGGGGCAGCAGUAGGGAAUUUUCGUCAAUGGGCGCAAGCCUGAACGAGCGAUGCCGCGUGAGUGAAGAAGGCCUUCGGGUCGUAAAGCUCUGUUGCGGGGGAAAAAAGGCAGCAUCAGGAAAUGGGUGCUGACUGAUGGUGCCCCGCCAGAAAGGGACGGCUAACUACGUGCCAGCAGCCGCGGUAAUACGUAGGUCCCGAGCGUUAUCCGGAUUUAUUGGGCGUAAAGCGAGCGCAGGCGGUUGGAUAAGUCUGAAGUUAAAGGCUGUGG
rnacentral:rRNA from 1 species